rnacentral:misc_RNA from 1 species
AAACGAUAAACAAAUGAAAUUACGUGAUAAAAUACGAAAUUAUAUGAAAAUCAACUCUUCUUUACAGUAAUGGAAUAGUUAAUGAUCGUGGUCAUGUGCCUACAAAAAGAAUAGAGAAUAAUUCUCUCAAUAAUGAAGCUGAAAUUCACAGCUAGCGAGCUUUGGUCAUCUUCUCAAUCAGAAAUCUUUUAGUAGCUUCCGGACCUGCUCUAGUGUGACAAAGAGCACCACUGUGAAAGGUCCUUGCCUUGAAAUUGUAGGGAUAAAUCCCUUGUACAAGGCCAUAGGUCCCUCCGCCCUCACCGUCUUCAUUGCACAGUCUAAUGCACCCUUGUACGGCGGCUCUGCCCCUGCCUCCACCUUCAUAUUCAUAACCCUGGUCUUUAUCACAUCAAUAGGGUUUGAAGCUACCGAAGCCACAAACCCAGCAGCGAAACUCGCCGUCACAUGGGUCCCUAUUCCAUCAUUCAUCACACCCUUUUGCAAGAUUAUCUCCUUGAUCUGAUCAUAGGAUGCGAGCUGUGAUGCGGUGACAAUCAUUGCACGGUUCAUGGUGAGACUUGAGCCACGCCACAGGCUAGCAAUGCCUUCUUGCUUCGACAUUUGAGUUAGAGCAUCGAGCACGCUUUUGUAAUUGCGACGUUGGUCAAUUGGGAGACGUCCAUCAGCCUGCAUUCGAACCAUAGCCACAUCAGCUGGGUUCCCGACGGCUGCUCCAACGCCACCGGAAAUAAGGCCAGCGAGAAUCUUGCGUAGAAGUGGCAUACUUCCAGUAUCUUGUUCCGUCCACUUGUGUUUGAGAAUAUCAUAAAGACCCAUACGGGUGGUGGAAUAUAAGGUCUGGCGGAGAAUAGUGGCGGAGAUGCCAGUGAAAAGAGCGGAAACACCUUCAGAUUGGAUGAUACGGGCGCCAAUAGAAAUGGGUCCAACACAAGACGGCGGAGGAAUUUCUACUGGUAGGGAAAUGUUGCCAGCUGCAGAAACCGUGUUGAAGGCGAUUGCAGGGCGGAAGGCUUGAAUGGAAGCAGGAUUUGGGAGGUGGGAUUCGCCUUGGAGUUGCAUACGGACCUUG